rnacentral:rRNA from 1 species
UACAGAGGGUGCAAGCGUUACUCGGAAUUACUGGGCGUAAAGCGUGCGCAGACGGUUUCGUAAGUCAGAUGUGAAAGCCCCGGGCUCAACCUGGGAAUUGCAUUUGAGACUGCGUAGCUAGGGUGCGGAAGAGGGAAGCGGAAUUUCCGGUGUAGCGGUGAAAUGCGUAGAUAUCGGAAGGAACACCAGUGGCGAAAGCGGCUUCCUGGUCCAGCACCGACGUUCAGGCACGAAAGCGUGGGGAGCAAACAGG